UACGAAGGGGGCUAGCGUUGCUCGGAAUCACUGGGCGUAAAGCGCACGUAGGCGGAUUGCUAAGUCAGGGGUGAAAUCCUGGAGCUCAACUCCAGAACUGCCCUUGAUACUGGCGGUCUUGAGUGGUGGAGAGGGAAGCAGAAUUCCUGGUGUAGAGGUGAAAUUCGUAGAUAUCAGGAGGAACACCGGUGGCGAAGGCGGCUUCCUGGACACUAACUGACGCUGAGACGCGAAAGCGUGGGGAGCAAACAGG
rnacentral:rRNA from 1 species